GAUGGGGAGAAGACAUUGUGUCUUCGAGUCGUUGAUUUCACACUGCCGAGAAAAGCCUCUAGAUAGAAAAUAGGUGCCCGUACCGCAAACCGACACAGGUAGUCAAGAUGAGAAUUCUAAGGUGAGCGAGCGAACUCUCGUUAAGGAACUCGGCAAAAUGACCCCGUAACUUCGGGAGAAGGGGUGCUCUUUAGGGUUAACGCCCAGAAGAGCCGCAGUGAAUAGGCCCAAGCGACUGUUUAUCAAAAACACAGGUCUCUGCUAAACCGUAAGGUGAUGUAUAGGGGCUGACGCCUGCCCGGUGCUGGAAGGUUAAGAGGAGUGGUUAGCUUCUGCGAAGCUACGAAUCGAAGCCCCAGUAAACGGCGGCCGUAACUAUAACGGUCCUAAGGUAGCGAAAUUCCUUGUCGGGUAAGUUCCGACCCGCACGAAAGGCGUAACGAUUUGGGCACUGUCUCAACGAGAGACUCGGUGAAAUCAUAGUACCUGUGAAGAUGCAGGUUACCCGCGACAGGACGGAAAGACCCCGUGGAGCUUUACUGUAGCCUGAUAUUGAAAUUCGGCACAGCUUGUACAGGAUAGGUAGGAGCCUUUGAAACGUGAGCGCUAGCUUACGUG
rnacentral:rRNA from 1 species